GCGGGCAUGGUGGAAUUGGCAGACACGCUAGAUUUAGGAUCUAGUGCCGCAAGGCGUGGGGGUUCAAGUCCCUCUGCCCGCACCA
rnacentral:tRNA from 1 species